AGCCCAAAGAUUCAAAGAAUUGGGAGAUUUCAACAACUUGGUGCCGUGACCCGGAUCUUUGGUGUGCUGAGGAGGUGCAGAUUUGGCCUUUGGUGAGAUCGUGAGGCGAGGUGAACAGAGGACCGGUCCAAAAAUAAAAAGGAGUGGCGACCCUCCUGUCCGUGGACGCGUGGCCAGGACCGGCGUCGUCCGGGUGCCGAGAUAGUAAGAGGUGUGCAGUGGAGAAUUAUGGAGGAGUAGAGAGAGGAAUGUGUUGGGAGACUGGCGUACAGUUUACGCUGUCAAGGUAGGCGGGUUGCCUGCUUAUCGGUUUAAAAGUGAUGAAAAUGAAAUUAAAAUAAAUCUCUUAGUGUGUUAAUACAGGAAGCUGCGGACCUGGACCAACUGCCCCCACAAGCACAGCGGCCGAAGCAAAAUUAUAGGUAAUGGGAACCACACCCAGCACGAAUCAGCAGCUGUGAAAAAGACAGCAGCGAGGAGAGAAUUAGAGGAGAAAUUAAGAGAAGUUUUAACACAUAAAAUUGGGGCCAACGGACUUGUGGAGGUUGGGAAGGCGUCCGGAGCAUCACAACAAAAAGGUGAAACAAAAACACACACAAGCAGAGAAAUCUGAGAGAAAGGCUCCUUUUAAGGUAACGCCUAGUUUGAGAAAAGAUAAAAUUAACCUGCUUUUAUACAAAUGCACAUACACGCAAUGAAGAAACAGCUUACACUCAUGAACACGUGAAGAUUUUCCAGCAAGGUUAAAGAAAAAUUAACAUACUUAAAUGAUGAAGUCUAUACAUUACUGACAAAGAAACCCUCUGGGUUGCAGGACAACAAUUUAACUAAAAAAAAAAAAAAAAAGGAACACUGGUCUAACCAACCAGGCAAGACACAACAAAUUUAGUGGUUAAAAGAUUCAAAUUGUGACAUGUUUUCUGUUGAUUGAUUAAUAAAAGUGAUUACUGAAUGAAAGAAAGUUCCUUUUUUGGGCUUUUAAACAUGAUCUUAAGAAUUUUAACAUAUUACUCUGUGUUGUCCUGUCAACUUGGUGGGUUAGGAGUUGAUUAUAUCGGGAGACAAAAAACAAAAAAAGGGGGAGAGAAGGCUGACACAGGGCCUGGCCCCAUUGUCUCCCCUCUGAAUAACACAGCCAACACAACAUCAUUUUCCUGUUCGUUUGUUUUUGUUUUUUGUUUGUUUUUGUUUUGUUUUGUUUUUGUUUUUUCUAUAUAUAUUUAAUUACAGGCUGCUUUGCCGGCCCUGAAAGCCGAGGCUGACUGGACUCCUGCUCUCCCCCAUACGUGACACUGACCAAAUGCUGCAACAGCUGGACCCACAACAACGACCUGAGAAUGUCAACAGACCUGCAGGAAUGUGAUCUCAUGCAGCCGAGACAGAGAGCACUAAACCUAAGGCCCGUUUCACUACACGGGGGAAAAUUCCCAGACUGCGUCAGCUGACAGAGCUGUGACGAGACGCCCGCCAAGCCCGAAUGAAAAGUAAGGCCGAGCGAAAGAAUGCUGACCUUGAUAACUUUGCAUUCACACUGUGCAGGACAGUGAUGGACCAACACGGGUGAUCGGGUGGCGAAAAAGGGCGUGACCGAGACAAGAGGAGUAACUGAGGACAGAAGGCACCUCAGAAUGGACAAAAACACAGAAGAAGAUGCAGGUUUCACCUGCGGUGAACAUCGACACUGGAGAAAGGACUGCCCCAAUUGGGGUCAGAACCAGGACGGACUGAAUUUUGAGCAGCAGCAGCAGCAAUGGUCGCAAACAAACUGAAAAGGAGGGGGGGCAGGACCCCAGGGCAUGCUUCAGGCCG
ensembl:lncRNA